rnacentral:rRNA from 1 species
GUGCCAGCAGCCGCGGUAAUACGGGAGGGUGCAAGCGUUAUUCGGAAUCACUGGGCGUAAAGGACGCGUAGGCGGGAUGCCAAGUCUGAUGUGAAAUCCUAUGGCUUAACCAUAGAACUGCAUUGGAAACUGGUAACCUAGAGUAUGGGAGGGGGAGAUGGAAUUAGUGGUGUAGGGUAAAAUCCGUAGAUAUCACUAGGAAUACCGAAAGCGAAGCGAUCUCCUGGAACAAUACUGACGCUAAGGCGUGAAAGCGUGGGGAGCAAACGGGAUUAGAUACCCCGGUAGUCCACGCCCUAAACGAUGAACACUAGUCGUCGGAAUGCUAGUCAUUUCGGUGAUGCACUUAACAGAUUAAGUGUUCCGCCUGGGGAGUACGGUCGCAAGAUUAAAACUCAAAGGAAUAGACGGGGACCCGCACAAGUGGUGGAGCAUGUGGUUUAAUUCGAAGAUACGCGAAGAACCUUACCUAGCCUUGACAUUGAAGAAACACCCUAGAGAUAGAGUGGUGCCCUUCGGGGAAUCUGAAAACAGGUGCUGCACGGCUGUCGUCAGCUCGUGUCGUGAGAUGUUGGGUUAAGUCCCGCAACGAGCGCAACCCUCGUCCUUAGUUGCCAGCAGUUCGGCUGGGCACUCUAAGGAGACUGCCUUCGCAAGGAGGAGGAAGGUGAGGACCGACGUCAAGUCAUCAUGGCCCUUAUGGCUAGGGCUACACACGUGCUACAAUGGGGCGUACAGAAGAGUUGCGAUACCGCGAGGUGGAGCCAAUCUCAUAAAGCGUCUCUCAGUUCGGAUAGGAGUCUGCAACUCGACUCCUUGAAGCUGGAAUCACUAGUAAUCGUAGAUCAGCAAUGCUACGGUGAAUACGUUCCCGGGUCUUGUACUCACCGCCCGUCACACCAUGGGAGUUGAUUUCACCCGAAAUUGGGAAGCUAACCUUCGGGGGGCUACCACUUACCGUGGAAUUAGCGACUGGGGUGAAGUCGUAACAAGGUAAGCC